rnacentral:rRNA from 1 species
AUUGAACGCUGGCGGCAGGCCUAACACAUGCAAGUCGAGCGGAGCGGCGGACGGGUGAGUAAUGCCUAGGAAUCUGCCUGGUAGUGGGGGAUAACGUCCGGAAACGGGCGCUACUACCGCAUACUAUCAGAUGAGCCUAGGUCGGAUUAGCUAGUUGGUGGGGUAAAGGCCUACCAAGGCGACGAUCCGUAACGGGUCUGAGAGGAGGAUCAGUCACACUGGAAAGGGGACACGGACCAGAGUCCUACGGUACGCAGCAGUGGUGAAUAUUGGGCAAUAGGCGAAAGCCUGAUCCAGCCAUGCCGCGUGUGUUAAGAAGGUCUUCGGAUUGUAAUGCACUUUAAGUUGGUAUGCGUUACCAACAGAAUAAGCACCGGCUAACUUCGUGCCAGCAGCCGCGGUAAUAC